CAUCAGUUUAUCACUGGACUUUCCUCUUCCAUCCAUGGAUGGAAGAAUAAAUUCUUUUAUAUAGCUGCCGACCACCCCUGGGGCUUCAACUGAUGCUAGACCACUCCCAAUCUAUCUCUGAAUAGGAAUGAUAUGGUUCUAGCUGAAGAUCGGGAGUAGUACGAUAAGCUGUUCGAUGUCCUGAUCCCUCCAUAGUGAGAGCUCUUGGAGGAGCAAUCGUUGUAUGACAUCGGGAUAAGCCUGACCAACCGCUUAGGUAGUCUUUU
rnacentral:lncRNA from 1 species